rnacentral:rRNA from 1 species
GUGAAUCAUCGAAUCUUUGAACGCACCUUGCGCCCUUUGGUAUUCCGAAGGGCAUGCCUGUUUUAGUGUCAUUAAAUUCUCAACCUUGAAAGGCUUGUCUUUUCAAUGGCUUGGAUGUGAGGGUUUUGCUGGCUUCCUUCAGUGGAUGGUCUGCUCCCUUUAAAAGCAUUAGUGGGAUCCUUUGUGGACGGUCACUUGGUGUGAUAAUUAUCUACGCCGUUUUGUACUGUGAAGCAAAACUUGUGGGAACCUGCUUAUAACCGUCUGUAAUGGACAAUUUUGAACCUUUGACCUCAAAUCAGGUAGGACUACCCGCUGAACUUAAGCAUAUCAAUAAGCGGAGG